rnacentral:rRNA from 1 species
CCUACGGGAGGCAGCAGUGAGGAAUAUUGGUCAAUGGGCGCUAGCCUGAACCAGCCAAGUAGCGUGAAGGAUGACUGCCCUAUGGGUUGUAAACUUCUUUUAUAGGGGAAUAAAGUGCAGUAGGUAGACGGCUUUGCAUGUACCUUAUGAAUAAGGAUCGGCUAACUCCGUGCCAGCAGCCGCGGUAAUACGGAGGAUCCGAGCGUUAUCCGGAGUUAUGGGGUUUAAAGGGAGCGUAGGCGGGUUGUUAAGUCAGUUGUGAAAGUUUGCGGCUCACCCGUAAAAUGGCAGUUGAUACGGGCAUCCUUGAGUACAGUUGCGGUAGGCGGAAUUCGUGGUGUAGCGGUGAAAUGCUUAGAUCUCA